AAGCAGACCUCAUUCGACCAAAUCAUGGGAAUGAAAACGUUACAACACCCUUCAAAGCCUUUUAAGUUAAUUUCACACAUUUUUGCUGCUUUGGUGAAUUCUGACUGUGUAAGAGUCAAGAGACAACCAGCAAAGUAUGCGGAAAUCCAGCCUUUACACACUUGGCCAUUGUUUGAGAGGCUCUGCUGAUGGGAUCUGUGGAGGAAGACAAUCAAAGGCAAUGAAAUCCUUCACUGUGAGCUGAGGGGGGACAAGAGGAGCUGCAAGCAAUGACUGAUUUGCAGCCUAAAGAGAACAGGAGGACAUUACUGAACUCUGUAAUUAGUGCAGAUUCAAAACAAAAAACUGUUUAAAAAGGAAGAAGAACACUAACCUUUGAAAGCUCAUGGGCCUGUUUGAAAUAAUUGGCUUCUUCUACAUCAUCAUAUCUCACCAGGUUAGGAGAGACCUCUUCCAGCCUUCUCCUCACCUCAUCCAGUGUGUCAUAAGGCAGUGUGACUCCCGCCAGCUGAGCAAACAAAACAUGAGAUUCCCUACUGAACAACCUAAAAUGUAUUCUCUAUACAAAGCUCAGGACAGUUAUAUGAACAGUGUUAUACAUUGUUAAAGUCCUGGUUUUAAGGAGAGUACCUCAGAAAUAGCACGCAAAAUCUUCCAGUCUUCGCGUGCCAUACCAGGAGCAGUAACUGCCACCCUCGUCUGCUGGGCUCGGCCCUCUGUGUUGACGUAUGUGCCAUUCUUUUCGGUAUAUGCAGCACCAGGCAAGAU